rnacentral:rRNA from 1 species
GAUGAACGCUGGCGGCGUGCCUAAUACAUGCAAGCCGAGCGAACGGACGAGAAGCUUGCUUUUCUGAUGUUAGCGGCGGACGGGUGAGUAACACGUGGAUAACCUACCUAUAAGACUGGGAUAACUUCGGGAAACCGGAGCUAAUACCGGAUAAUAUUUUGAACCGCAUGGUUCAAAAGUGAAAGACGGUCUUGCUGUCACUUAUAGAUGGAUCCGCGCUGCAUUAGCUAGUUGGUAAGGUAACGGCUCACCAAGGCAACGAUGCAUAGCCGACCUGAGAGGGUGAUCGGCCACACUGGAACUGAGACACGGUCCAGACUCCUACGGGAGGCAGCAGUAGGGAAUCUUCCGCAAUGGGCGAAAGCCUGACGGAGCAACGCCGCGUGAGUGAUGAAGGUCUUCGGAUCGUAAAACUCUGUUAUUAGGGAAGAACAUAUGUGUAAGUAACUGUGCACAUCUUGACGGUACCUAAUCAGAAAGCCACGGCUAACUACGUG